rnacentral:rRNA from 1 species
UGGAGAGUUUGAUCCUGGCUCAGGACGAACGCUGGCGGCGUGCUUAACACAUGCAAGUCGAGCGGUAAGGCCCUUCGGGGUACACGAGCGGCGAACGGGUGAGUAACACGUGGGUGAUCUGCCUCGUACUCUGGGAUAAGCCUGGGAAACUGGGUCUAAUACCGGAUAUGACCACGAGUCGCAUGGUUUGUGGUGGAAAGAUUUAUCGGUGCGAGAUGGGCCCGCGGCCUAUCAGCUUGUUGGUGGGGUAAUGGCCUACCAAGGCGACGACGGGUAGCCGGCCUGAGAGGGCGACCGGCCACACUGGGACUGAGACACGGCCCAGACUCCUACGGGAGGCAGCAGUGGGGAAUAUUGCACAAUGGGCGGAAGCCUGAUGCAGCGACGCCGCGUGCGGGAUGACGGCCUUCGGGUUGUAAACCGCUUUCGACAGGGACGAAGCGUGAGUGACGGUACCUGUAGAAGAAGCACCGGCCAACUACGUGCCAGCAGCCGCGGUA